UAUAAGUUGUGUUCCAGAACCUAAAAGUUAGUACUAAUUAGUGCUAAUUCUACUACAACGCGUUCCCGUACUCCAAAAACUAGCAAAACUUGCAGCUCUCUCGAGAAUAAAAUGGCGCUGAGUGGUGCACAUUUCUGCUUGUUUUAGCUACAUGAAUUUGGCCGAGCAGAAAUGUGCAAAUUGUAAAUUUGACAUUUAAUUGGCAGGGCUAACAAGGUUGAAAAAUGUAUUAAUACAUUUCAAUGUUCGCGCGUAACAACAAAUGUAAAGAAAAAAGAUUAACUUAAAAAAUAAAGAAUAACUAAUAUUUGUCGUGCAAAAAACAAAAAGAGAAAAUAUGGAGCAACUGAUGUAUUCACUUUUGGAUGAUUCCAGCAGUAAAGAGGAUUGGCUGAAUGCGGAAUCAGACGAAGAAAACGUAUUGGAAAACAGUGCAAAAUUAGUAAAAGGUUGGCUGUCUUCCUAACUUGUAGCAUUAAGUCUUCUUGCAGACUUAACAUUAAUUUAACCGGCGCCCCCAACCAUGUGAGCUUUUCCGGGUUGGGAUUUGAGAAAACUCCACCUCUAAAUACUCUUCAACGCAUUCUGAAAACAAAACUUUCUAAAUAAACACCAUUCAAAAAUAA